AUGAGCUCUCAUUAAAAAUGCUUUAAUAGUUGAUGAGAACAAAUUUUCUUGACACUAUCUUUUGUCCUUCGAAUCUGUCUUGCGUCAGUGUCCUAAUUCGGGAUUCUGUUUGUUACACACUUCAUAUUCAUCCAGGUGAAUACUAAAAUCUGGAGGGUGGAAGAAUCUAUAAAAUUCACAAAAACGUCCUCAAUUUUGUUCUUCUUCGCUUCGUGGCAAGUGUCUUCUGAUUUUUUGGCUUCCUUCGUAACAUACUUUGAUGUGGUUUGGUCUACCGUAUUUUCUUCGUCUAGUGAUGGUUUCCUCUGACUUUUUUUGUGUGUCAGAGGUUUUUAUUCUCUUUGAUUGGUUCUGAGGUUGAUCUUCAUGAGAUAACUAGAUUGUUUGCAUUUCCAUGUUAUUAGUUUUCCUUGAAGGUUUGAUUCACAUGAGAGGGCAUUCAGCAGGGCUGCUAAAAUGAUCUCGUUUGGUGUUCGAUUGUUUUAUCGCCAUGUUUUGUUUUAGACAAAAUGUUGCUAGUUGAUCAAAAUCUUUGAUCGAGUUUGGCUUUAGGCAUACAAAUCGGCCAAGGGCUUCUCAUUUGAGGUAUUUGGCAAAUAUUUGGAAGUAGAUUGUUGCUUGCUCCUUCGGGUUGGGUUUGAGCCUUUUCGAAUGCCUCAAUGAAGGAAGAGAGGUAGCGUUAUGGAUCUAUGGUUCCAUUGUACAUUAGGAUUCUGACUGACUUUUCCAGGGUCACGGAUAGGAUAAAAGGUUACUUUGCUUGAGAAUGAGACAUUCCUGAUUCUUCUCAAGACUCAUGGAGUUAUUAUCUCUAUCUUCUUAAUAGUCAGUUUUUUGUUUUUUAUUUAUUGUUUUUCCCUUUUUUCCAUAAGUUUUUGUAUACGUUACAAAAAAGAUUAUGGAUUAACAAAUUAAAGCUAUUUAUUACUUGAAUAUUUGUUGUUUUGGACAUAAAUAAAAUUUUAUAUAACCUGAGGGGCAUAUUUUAACCUGAAAAUAACCCCAAAAUAUUAAACCUUCACCCAAUCCCAAUGUUUAUCUUAAUUAAUCAUAAAUAACAUAAAUAAUUAAGUCACAAACAUGUUAUUGUAUAUUUUUGGUAA